UUUAGCACUGCUCCAAGCAUCUUCGCUACAGUUAAUUUACCUUCAGAAGGGAUGUAAGUAGGCGAUGGCAAAGGAGAAGGUAAGAUGGGACCAGAUAAGGAAGAAGAGGACAAAUCUGGAGGUGAUAGUGAGGAAAAAAGAAAUGAUUGAGAGGGCAGGAAAAGCUGGAGCACGCGAUGUGACGGUUGGGGAGGAAGCUGGAGCUUGAGCGAAGACUGGUUCUGUAUUUAAAUACAACGGCGGCAAAACCUCACACGGGAAAACACAACGUCGAGUACCCCGUAAUUUUGGUUUUUCGAGCCGGAUCGAGUUCCUGAUAAAAUAAAUCCAUCCAAUGAAUCAACAAAAUCACCCAUCCAAUCAACCACCUUUAAAUUUACAAAAAUACUCAAGCAAACAUAUACGUGGAAAAAUUAUGAAGGUGAUGGUGAUGGCAACGAUGGUGGACAUGAUGGCGAUGGCAACGGAGGUGCUAAUGAGGGGUCGGACGGCGACAACAAUUGGGUUAAUGUUGAGUUCUAAAAAAAAUGAGCUUUGU